rnacentral:rRNA from 1 species
UAGGGAAUCUUCGGCAAUGGACGGAAGUCUGACCGAGCAACGCCGCGUGAGUGAAGAAGGUUUUCGGAUCGUAAAGCUCUGUUGUAAGAGAAGAACGAGUGUGAGAGUGGAAAGUUCACACUGUGACGGUAUCUUACCAGAAAGGGACGGCUAACUACGUGCCAGCAGCCGCGGUAAUACGUAGGUCCCGAGCGUUGCCCGGAUUUAUUGGGCGUAAAGCGAGCGCAGGCGGUUAGAUAAGUCUGAAGUUAAAGGCUGUGGCUUAACCAUAGUACGCUUUGGAAACUGUUUAACUUGAGUGCAAGAGGGGAGAGUGGAAUUCCAUGUGUAGCGGUGAAAUGCGUAGAUAUAUGGAGGAACACCGGUGGCGAAAGCGGCUCUCUGGCUUGUAACUGACGCUGAGGCUCGAAAGCGUGGGGAGCAAACAGGAUUAGAUACCCUGGUAGUCCACGCCGUAACGAUGAGUGCUAGGUGUUAGACCCUUUCCGGGGUUUAGUGUCGCAGCUAACGCAUUAAGCACUCCGCCUGGGGAGUACGACCGCAAGGUUG